CUCCUACGGGGCGCAGCAGUAGGGAAUAUUGCUCAAUGGGGAAACCCUGAAGCAGCAACGCCGCGUGGAGGAUGAAGGUUUUCGGAUUGUAAACUCCUUUUGUUAGAGAAGAUAAUGACGGUAUCUAACGAAUAAGCACCGGCUAACUCCGUGCCAGCAGCCGCGGUAAUACGGAGGAUGCGAGCGUUAUCCGGAUUUAUUGGGUUUAAAGGGUGCGUAGGCGGGUUAUCAAGUCAGCGGUAAAAUCGUGGAGCUCAACUCCAUCCAGCCGUUGAAACUGAUGAUCUUGAGUGGGCGAGAAGUAU
rnacentral:rRNA from 1 species